UAUGGAUUUUAGGGCUGAUUUGGAGUUUUAUUUGAUCGAUUUCAGGUUCGAGGAUCUUGAAGAUGGAGUUAUCUACGUUCGUUCUUCUCGUAAUGGCUUGUGGUUUGAGGGUGGGAGCUGAUGGAACCAAUCAUAGGUACAAAGAGGGUGAUCAUGUCCCCCUAUUUGCCAAUAAGGUCGGACCUUUCCACAACCCCAGCGAGACAUAUCGUUACUAUGACUUGCCAUUCUGCUCACCAGGUUAUUCGGUUAUCCUUACUGUUCCAUCGACUUCUGAGCUGCAUGAGUCUGUUAGCAACACUAUUUAUACGUUUGUUAGUGUGUACAACUCUUUACAAAACUUUGUUGAUUUAGAGCAUGUUACCGAAAAGACGGAAACCCUUGGGGAAGUUCUAAAUGGUGAUCGUUUGGUCGAUGCACCGUACUGUCACGGACAAACUUUGAAACAGGAUGUUUGAUGUAAUGCUUAUAUCUGUCCGUGUCUGUUGGCAUGUUCAUGCCUUGUAAAACAUGUAGAGGGGCAGCCGAAGGCUUAUAAGUCCCAUUUUAGUUGGGUUGGUGGCCUCUUUAGGCUUGUAAAUAAAGGUUGUGUCAUGUGGACACGUGCGAGAGCUUUUCGGUCUGUAAUGGACCAUUUUACCC